CACAAAGCAGAUGGAAAGCAUACUGUGCUGAAGUGUAUCCUGCUGUGUUUAUCCAGCUUGUUGUGUAGGCUGGCCCAUAUAUGAAUAUGUGUGCUAUAGUUGUACAUCUCAGUAUUGACACAAACUUGAAGUCCAAAGGGAGUACAGAGACAAGAGCAAAUGAAGGAAGAGCAAGCAACUGGCAACCUCAGAUGGUGAUUUAAUAAUAAUAAUGAGGGGAAAAAAGAAAAAGGCACUGUCACUCUUUUGUUGGGGUUAAAGUCUUGGUUGCUGAAGACAAAAGUUCUGAAUCUCUUCUCAGUUAUGCUGACAUGCAAUCCAGAAGCUGGGAGAUGUAGCAGCCUAGAAUGCUUGUGAGAACUUCAUAAAAAGAAAAAUGGCUAUGAGAUUUGUGGCAUGCCAGGGGAAAAAAAAAACUCAUAUCUUGAAGGGGAACAGGAGGCACUUUGAAGAAUGCCUCUUGGUGUGGGCAUGUUUGUUUAGCAAAACUGCAGCUGCCGGUGACAACAUUCAUAUAACGAGAAACAAGAAAAGUGCCAGGACAACAGGGGAUGCUUGUGAUGACAUAAAAUCAUUGCUUGUCGCAGGCUGGAGUGAGUUGCUUGAUUAAUAAGUGUAUGUCCUCAGUUGGUUUCAAUACCCCUGUUAACCAGACACAAAGCUCUAUCUCCUUCUCUAGAUGGGAGAAUGCAUCAGAGGACUAGUUGUGGGUUUUCAUCUCUAUCACCAAAACUGUGCAGUUUGUGGUGAACCUCACAUUCUAAACAAUGAGAAAAUAUUUAUCACCCAGCUGUGUCAGGAGAAUAAAUAUUGCU